rnacentral:rRNA from 1 species
AUUGAACGCUGGCGGCAGGCCUAACACAUGCAAGUCGAGCGGAUGAAGGGAGCUUGCUCCUGGAUUCAGCGGCGGACGGGUGAGUAAUGCCUAGGAAUCUGCCUGGUAGUGGGGGAUAACGUCCGGAAACGAGCGCUAAUACCGCAUACGUCCUGAGGGAGAAAGUGGGGGAUCUUCGGACCUCACGCUAUCAGAUGAGCCUAGGUCGGAUUAGCUAGUUGGUGGGGUAAAGGCCUACCAAGGCGACGAUCCGUAACUGGUCUGAGAGGAUGAUCAGUCACACUGGAACUGAGACACGGUCCAGACUCCUACGGGAGGCAGCAGUGGGGAAUAUUGGACAAUGGGCGAAAGCCUGAUCCAGCCAUGCCGCGUGUGUGAAGAAGGUCUUCGGAUUGUAAAGCACUUUAAGUUGGGAGGAAGGGCAGUAAGUUAAUACCUUGCUGUUUUGACGUUACCAACAGGAUAAGCACCGGCUAACUUCGUG